UACCUGCAGCUCAAGUGGUGACCAUUAUUAUUGGGCCUAAAACGUCCGUAGCCGGCUUAGUAAACGCCUGGGUAAAUCGUGUAGCUUAACUAUACGAAUUCCGGGUAGACUGCUAAACUUGAGACCGGGAGAAGCUAGAGGUACCCCUGGGGUAGAGGUGAAAUUCUGUAAUCCUAGGGGGACCACCAGUGGCGAAGGCGUCUAGCUAGAACGGAUCUGACGGUGAGGGACGAAGCCCUGGGGCACAAACCGGAUUAGAUACCCGGGUAGUCCAGGGUGUAAACGCUGCUUGCUUGAUGUUAGUUGGGCUCCGAGCCCAACUAGUGUCGGAGAGAAGUUGUUAAGCAAGCUGCCUGGGAAGUACGGUCGCAAGGCUGAAACUUAAAGGAAUUGGCGGGGGAGCACAGCAACGGGUGGAGCGUGCGGUUU
rnacentral:rRNA from 1 species